AGCGAACGCUGGCGGCAGGCCUAACACAUGCAAGUCGAACGAAACGGUCGGGGUUAGUGGCGGACGGGGGGGCAACACGGGGGGACGUGCCUGUAGGUUCGGAACAAUACAGGGAAAUAUGCGCUAAUAACGGAGGUGACUACUGGGGGGAAGAUUGAUCGCCUUUGGAGCGGCCCGCGUCUGGUUAGGUUGUUGGUUGAGGUAAUGGCCCACCAAGGCGACGAUCGGCAGCUGGUCUGAGAGGAUGCACAGCCACAUUGGGACUGAGAAGCGGCCUACACUCGGAAGCAGUGGAGCAGAGUGGAAUCUUGGGGAAUGCGCGAAGGCGUGACGCCGCCAGGCCGCGUACAUCAUGCGGGUCUUAGGAUUCUAAAAGUCUUGAACAGGGGACGGUAGUGACGGUACCCGUAGAAGAAGCACCGGCUAACUACGUG
rnacentral:rRNA from 1 species